rnacentral:tRNA from 1 species
GGUCGGUUAGCUCAGUUGGUUAGAGCGUGGUACUAAUAUAUCAUCUGAUAUGUUCUAGCGUGGUACUAAUAUGUCAUCUGACAUGUGCAGUAAUGCCAAGGCCGGGAGUUCAAGCCUCCCACUGAUCA